rnacentral:rRNA from 1 species
UACGUAGGGCGCGAGCGUUGUCCGGAAUUAUUGGGCGUAAAGGGCGCGUAGGCGGCUUUGUAAGUCAGAUGUGAAAUCCCAGGGCUUAACCCUGGAAGUGCAUCUGAUACUGCUUGGCUUGAGUGCUGGAGAGGGUGGUGGAAUUCCUGGUGUAGAGGUGAAAUUCGUAGAUAUCAGGAGGAACACCGGUGGCGAAGGCGACCACCUGGACAGACACUGA